AUUGAACGCUGGCGGCAGGCUUAACACAUGCAAGUCGAGCGGAGAGAGGUAGCUUGCUACUGAUCUUAGCGGCGGACGGGUGAGUAAUGCUUAGGAAUCUGCCUAUUAGUGGGGGACAACAUUUCGAAAGGAAUGCUAAUACCGCAUACGUCCUACGGGAGAAAGCAGGGGAUCUUCGGACCUUGCGCUAAUAGAUGAGCCUAAGUCGGAUUAGCUAGUUGGUGGGGUAAAGGCCUACCAAGGCGACGAUCUGUAGCGGGUCUGAGAGGAUGAUCCGGCACACUGGGACUGAGACACGGCCCAGACUCCUACGGGAGGCAGCAGUGGGGGAUAUUGGACAAUGGGCGGAAGCCUGAUCCAGCCAUGCCGCGUGUGUGAAGAAGGCCUUAUGGUUGUAAAGCACUUUAAGCGAGGAGGAGGCUACUUUAGUUAAUACCUAGAGAUAGUGGACGUUACUCGCAGAAUAAGCACCGGCUAACUCUGUGCCAGCCGCCGCCGUAAUAC
rnacentral:rRNA from 1 species